rnacentral:lncRNA from 1 species
UCAGAUCUUCAUGCAUGCCCAAAACUUUUCUCUCUUUCUCUCUUACAUGGAAUGUGGUUGUGGAUCAAGUCAAAGUAGGAAUUAGUUUGGAUUUCAAAUUCUAUGAGAUAGAGUUUUAGGAAAGCAAAACUCUUUCCUUAUGGUACUGAUUUUAUCCUAAUUUUUUUUAAAAUUUUUAUGAUUUUUAUGGUACAUAAUAUUCACCCUUUG